rnacentral:lncRNA from 1 species
UAUGGGUUUAUUCGUGGUCAUUUGACUUGUCGCUUUCAUCAAUUUGUUGAAAGGAAAGAUCUGUCUCAUUUGACGAACAUUUUGAUGUAUGGUAUGUUAAUUUUGGUUGAGUAACUAAAGAGGAUUUUACCGAAGAAGACGAAGAGAAGUGGUGAUGACUGAUGAUGUUUUUGAGUGAGAACUGCAAGAUUCAAUCACUUGAA